ACCGAUGAUGGUGAUUACAAUAUUAAAUUACGCAAUAUCAUCCGUUUCCUGGGUGAUGGCGAUAAGGCAAAGAUUACAUUGCGUUUUCGUGGCCGUGAAAUUACGCACCAGGAAUUUGGCUUGGCGUUAUUGAAACGCCUGGAAGCAGAUUUAACCGAGCAUGCACUGGUUGAGCAGUAUCCGAAAAUGGAAGGCCGCCAGAUGGUGAUGGUGUUGGCACCCGCGAAAAAAGCACCGCCGAAAAAAGCCGGUGAAAAAGAAGUAUCAGGCGCAUAAAGUAUUCAGGCAAUACAGGAUUUUUUGGAGUA
rnacentral:misc_RNA from 1 species